UGGGGAAUAUUGCACAAUGGGCGCAAGCCUGAUGCAGCGACGCCGCGUGAGGGAUGACGGCCUUCGGGUUGUAAACCUCUUUCAGCAGGGACGAAGCGCGAGUGACGGUACCUGCAGAAGAAGCACCGGCCAACUACGUGCCAGCAGCCGCGGUAAUACGUAGGGUGCGAGCGUUGUCCGGAAUUACUGGGCGUAAAGAGCUCGUAGGCGGUUUGUCGCGUCGUCUGUGAAAUUCUGCAGCUUAACUGCAGGCGUGCAGGCGAUACGGGCAGACUUGAGUACUACAGGGGAGACUGGAAUUCCUGGUGUAGCGGUGAAAUGCGCAGAUAUCAGGAGGAACACCGGUGGCGAAGGCGGGUCUCUGGGUAGUAACUGACGCUGAGGAGCGAAAGCGUGGUAGCGAACAGGAUUAGAUACCCUGGUAGUCCACGCCGUAAACGGUGGGUACUAGGUGUGGGUUCCAUUUCACGGGAUCCGUGCCGUAGCUAACGCAUUAAGUACCCCGCCUGGGGAGUACGGCCGCAAGGCUAAAACUCAAAGGAAUUGACGGGGU
rnacentral:rRNA from 1 species